AGCUUCUCAAAAAGUGAUUCUGAUGUGACCUUGUUCAGGAACAAGCAAAUCAAGAGAUGUCCAAAAAAAAGAAAGGCUCACCAAGAAAAUACAAGCCAAUGUCGUAUAAUAUAUCAAUCUGACGGCAAUUCAGAGACCGUCGAUCAUGCAAAAGGAUGCGACCAGCCAAGGAAUUCUGCGAACACAAUUUCCAAAAUUCAGUCAACAGUCUUGGUCUUUGGUCAAGUCAAUAUUCCUAGUCAAGUCUUCAUAGUUUUAAGAGCUUUAUAGUUUCAAGGAUUGACUAGAUUAUUUAAUUUUACAGAUUGCCUAUUAUAUAAAAGUUUGCUUUGUAUUGUUUUUAUUCAUUCAACCCUUUUAAUAAAAAUCUACUUUUUAAAUUUGUUGAAUCCUUUGUUCUUUGGAACAUCGUAAUGCUACGAGAGUGAUCUCCGUAAGCACGGUCUUGUUCACUAGUGGGGCUGCCUCUCACGGACUAAGACCAACCCAGCAAGUAUCUGGCCUUCCGCAGCCUUAUACUGAAGAACCAUCGAUCCACCUUUCCUUUAAUCCAUCUUUGGGUCAAAGUUUAUCCUUUUCACCAACCUUCGAGUGCAUUCCUUGGGAGAUUUUCUAUUAUUUGGUAUCAGAGCACACUUGAGGGUUCGGUGUUCACUUCUGUCAUUCAUCAUUCUCAUCUUUCCAUCUUCUACAAAAAAAAAAAAAAAAAAUCCACGAGAAAACAAGAGAUCAUUCCAUCUGAAGUUAAAUCGAGACUGCUCCUCCAUCUCUCGUAAUGGCUCUAGGAGAUUGCUUCUCCGAAAGCAACCUGUUUUGAUCACUAGUGGGGCUGCCUCUCACGGUCACAGGUUCUAAACAUUAUGUCGGAUUUGAGGGCAAAUCCUUUUGAAGGAGGAGGGGAUGAUGUGACCUUGUUCAGGAACAAGCAAAUCAAGAGAUGUCCAAAAAAAAGAAAGGCUCACCAAGAAAAUACAAGCCAAUGUCGUAUAAUAUAUCAAUCUGACGGCAAUUCAGAGACCGUCGAUCAUGCAAAAGGAUGCGACCAGCCAAGGAAUUCUGCGAACACAAUUUCCAAAAUUCAGUCAACAGUCUUGGUCUUUGGUCAAGUCAAUAUUCCUAGUCAAGUCUUCAUAGUUUUAAGAUCUUUAUAGUUUCAAGGAUUGACUAGAUUAUUUAAUUUUACAGAUUGCCUAUUAUAUAAAAGUUUGCUUUGUAUUGUUUUUAUUCAUUCAACCCUUUUAAUAAAAAUCUACUUUUUAAAUUUGUUGAAUCCUUUGUUCUUUGGAACAUCGUAAUGCUACGAGAGUGAUCUCCGUAAGCACGGUCUUGUUCACUAGUGGGGCUGCCUCUCACGGACUAAGACCAACCCAGCAAGUAUCUGGCCUUCCGCAGCCUUAUACUGAAGAACCAUCGAUCCACCUUUCCUUUAAUCCAUCUUUGGGUCAAAGUUUAUCCUUUUCACCAACCUUCGAGUGCAUUCCUUGGGAGAUUUUCUAUUAGAUUCAUCCUGGUUUGAUUAGAACGACGAAGAAGCUGUACUUUUCCCAAACUGGGAAACUGGAAUCACCUGAUUUGAAAGUGGGAUAACUUCUUCUUUCCAACUCCUAUGAGAUUUAUUCAACUUCCUGGUGAUUCUCCACCACUUUAUGUAUCCAAAUCAAGCUUCUCACAAAGUGAUUCAUCCUGGUUUGAUUGGAACGACGAAGAAGCUGUCCUAUUCCCAAACUGGGAAACUGGAAUCACCUGAUUUGAAAGUGGGAUAACUUCUUCAUCCCAACUCCUAAGAGAUUUAUUCAACUUCCUGGUGAUUCUCCAC
rnacentral:lncRNA from 1 species